GCUCCGUUGGUGAACCAGCGGAGGGAUCAUUACAGGACUCGCCAGACUCCUACAACCCUGUGAACUUAACUAUAAGCACGUUGCUUCGGCGGGUGUCUCGGAGGGGGUUCUCCCUCCCCGAGACGCUAAACCCGCCGGCAGCCUACUAUACUCUGUCUCUUUGCGUUGGCAUCUCGAGUACAAUCAAACAAGUUAAAACUUUCAACAACGGAUCUCUUGGUUCUG
rnacentral:misc_RNA from 1 species